rnacentral:rRNA from 1 species
UACGUAGGGUGCAAGCGUUGUCCGGAUUUAUUGGGUUUAAAGGGUGCGUAGGCGGCUAUUUAAGUCAGUGGUGAAAUCCUUCAGCUUAACUGGAGAACUGCCAUUGAUACUGAAUAGCUUGAGUAUAGUUGAGGUAGGCGGAAUUGACAGUGUAGCGGUGAAAUGCGUAGAUAUUGGCAAGAACACCGAUUGCGAAGGCAGCUUACGAAACUAUAACUGACGCUGAGGCACGAAAGCGUGGGUAUCAAACAGG